rnacentral:lncRNA from 1 species
AUCAAGUGGCAUUUGAAAAUGUAAAGUAAAGAGACACUAGAGUUAGUGUGAUGCAAAGAACUAACGUGACGUAAAGAGUGAUGAGAAUGACAAUGUCUAAAGUUAAAGUAGUGUGGGAGUAAAGAACACGAAGUGCUAGAGGUAGCCAAAAGUAAAGAAUGUAAAGAAUAUAAUUGCUAGAGUUAGCAAAAGUAAAGGAAAAUGUAAAGAACGUGAUUGCAUGAGUUUGCAACAUAAAGUGAUAUAAUGAACACUAGAGCUAGUGUAAAGUCAAGAUU